CCCCCAAAAGGCUAGCCUCUGCCUCACUCCGGAGAACGCCGUACUGGUUUCCAAAACCGAGGCAGCUGAUGCCUUCUUCGUACUUCGAAUCCCGGAGCGCUUGAUGUCGAGCUUCGAGUGCUACGAGAGCUGUAAUCUCCAAAUCUAUCUGCACACCUUGCACCGCCAUUUGAAGCAAUUGGAGGACAAGACUGAGUUUGCAGAAAUCGCUCUUUAUUGCGAGGAUCCUACUCAAUCGGCUAAUGCUGUGAUUAACUUUGAGCUUGAUGAGAAUGCUCCAAAAUUCCACUGCUUUCAUGGCAUCGGGCUGAGAUUGACCUGUGGUACAUAGCAUAUGACUAUCCAGUGCGUCUUGGAUUGUCUUCACAGAGCUUUUGUUACCUCAUCACUAUUAUGGAUUCCUAUGGGUGUACAGUUCAUGCCACACUAUUUGAAAAUAAAGUUCAUUUCCGUGUAGUGAAUUACGAGUUUGACAUCCCAACAAAGCCUGAGAUCUGCGAGACUGAGAGUGAUCGUGGAUUUCCGUGUGCUUUGAAGUUUGAUAUUCAACACAAGAGUGCUCUUCUGAAUGCCGCUACUUUCUCCGGGGAGAUGAUAUGGA